GGACGCGAGGCGCGUGACUCAGCGAGGGCAAGAGCAAACGGUUGCUGAGUGCAAACUCUGCGCCCGGACCGGUCCCACGACUAUAAAGAGCAGACCGCCCGCUAGGCAUCAUCACGACUUCCAGAAGCCUGGCUGUCUUCUCGUCCCUUGCUCUGUAACUCCAGCUUCACCAGAUCUCGGAAUGGACCCCAACUGCUCCUGCUCCACCGGCAGCCCCUGCACCUGCUCCAGCUCCUGCGGCUGCAAAAACUGCAAGUGCACCUCCUGCAAGAAGAGCUGCUGCUCUUGCUGCCCCGUGGGCUGCUCCAAGUGUGCCCAGGGCUGUAUCUGCAAAGGGGCAUCGGACAAGUGCACGUGCUGUGCCUGAUGUGAGGACAAUGCCCCUCCCACGUGUAAAUAGUAUGGACCAACCCGGAGUUUUUCAUGCAGCUCUGCCCUGUUUACUAAACCCCCUUUUCUACAAAAUAUGUGAAUAAAAAGCCAUUUUGAUUCUA